AUACGUAGGCGGCGAGCGUUAUCCGGAAUUACUGGGUGUAAAGGGUGUGUAGGCGGGAAGGCAAGUCGGAUGUGAAAAUUAUGGGGUUAACCCAUAAAGUGCGACCGAAACUGUUUUUCUUGAGGAUCGGAGAGGGAAUGAGAAUUCCCGGUGUAGCGGUGAAAUGCGCAGAGAUCGGGAGGAAUACCGGUGGCGAAGGCGAAUUACUGGACGAUAACUGACGCUGAGACACGAAAGCGUGGGGAGCAAACAGGAUUAGAUACCCUGGUAGUCCACGCCCUAAACGAUGAAUGCUAGGUGUAGGGGAGUCAUCUUCUGUGCCGCAGCUAACGCAAUAAGUAUUCCACCUGGGGAGUACGUUCGCAAGAAUGAAACUCAAAUGAAUUGACGGGG
rnacentral:rRNA from 1 species